CACCCACACACAUUCAGCACCCACAGACAUACAGCACCCACAGACAUACAGCACCCACACACAUUCAGCACCCACAGACAUACACAGCACCCACACACAUUCAGCACCACACACAUUCAGCACCACAGACAUACAGCACCCACAGACAUACACAGCACCCACAGACAUACACAGCACCCACACACAUUCAGCACCCACACACAUUCAGCACCCACACACAUUCAGCACCCACAGACAUACAGCACCCACAGACAUACACAGCACCCACACACAUACAGCACCCAUACACAGCAC